rfam:Myotis lucifugus cont2.43232, whole genome shotgun sequence.
GGCAGUUCUCAGGUGAUACACCCUGGAAUCGGGCUUCCUCCUCUCUGGUUCCAGAUGUGUCAACUGAGAACCGCA